CGGGCGGCAACGGAACCAUCGACCCCUCUACGGAUCUCAGAACCAUAAUGGACUGCAGAGUGAUUAAAAAAAAUCUAAUUCAAAUCUUUCCAGUUUGGCCACCAUCCAGCAGAGGGCGCCGCUGAGUCCGCUAUCCUUAAGCGGAGCCGUUGAUACAGAAACAAAGACGGCGGAAGCCAUACCAGAACGGGAAAGAGAAACGAUGGAAGAGAGUGCAAUUCUGUUUGAAAUAAAUACUCUACAAUCUC